rnacentral:lncRNA from 1 species
AGUCAACCGGAGAAUAUAUAUAUAUAUAUAUAUAUAGUUGAGCUAGAAUAUUAUCGAUAGCAAACGAGCUCCGUUGUCACCCAUUUGUUUUCGAUGAUAGAGCUUCCAAAUCGACGAUCAACACCGUUAAAUAUGAUCUAUACCACUUGAAGUGUUUAGAAAUCAAAUUUCAAAUCUUUUCGACAUCAUUUGCCUAAUGAUCAAAGGGUUUCAAAUUUUGUAAUCUUAAUGGUUGAUAUGAGGCAUUUUCUCGUUUAACGGCGUAAAGGUAUCAAAAUCAAUUGAAUUUUUGUUAGAAAAUUCUUUAAACUAUUUAAAACAAGAUCUAUACUCUUGAUCUUGAUUACAAAACUCUUAUCAUCAUUUUUUAAAGAAUAUUCAUUUUCAGCCGUUCAUUUUUGUGUCCACUCGAUGGAUAAGAGAACAAUAUCGAAAAUAUAUGAAAUUUGAUUUCUAAACACUUCAAGUGGUAUAGAUUAUGUUCAACGGUGCUGAUCGUCAAUUUGAAUGCUUCAUCAUCAAAAACAAAUGGGUGGCAACGGAACCCGUUUGCUUUCGAUAGUAUUCUAGCUCAACUCUAUAUAUAUAUAUAUAUAUAUAUAUAUAUAUAUAUAUAUAUAUAAUUCGGUUACUAUGCUAUUAAUAGUACGAAACACUUUGUGCUACCAAAUUUUUCGCCAUUAGAUCUACCAUUUUGAUCAUUUUUACCCGUUAAAUUAUACUAUACAACCAACCACCCACUGAAUCCUAGGAGGCCCAUAUCAUCUUAACCACAUGCACAUCUCUUAAUCCAAUGGCCAAACACUUAGUUAUGAUUGACUUUAAAACAUUGGUAAUAAACAUAUAUUAUCACAUGAUCACAAUAGCCUUAUGGUAAUCAUGAAAUUUUGAUAUUAACGAUUCUCUAAAGAUAACGACCUUAUAUGAUACAGUUGGUUGAAACUUAAUGGUUGGUACCGAAAAUCACAAGUUCAAAGUCUAAUUAUUUUACGUUUUUUACUGAAUUUUUUUAUAGAACUUUU